GACGAACGCUGGCGGCGUGCUUAACACAUGCAAGUCGAACGGAAAGGCCCUGCUUUUGUGGGGUGCUCGAGUGGCGAACGGGUGAGUAACACGUGAGUAACCUGCCCUUGACUUUGGGAUAACUUCAGGAAACUGGGGCUAAUACCGGAUAGGAUCUCCUGCUGCAUGGUGGGGGUUGGAAAGUUUCGGCGGUUGUGGAUGGACUCGCGGCUUAUCAGCUUGUUUGUGGGGUAGUGGCUUACCAAGGCUUUGACGGGUAGCCGGCCUGAGAGGUUGACCGGCCACAUUGGGACUAAGAGACGGCCCAGACUGCUACGGGAGGCAGCAGUGGGGAAUAUUGCGCAAUGGGCGGAAGCCUGAUGCAGCGACGCCGCGUGCGGGAUGACGGCCUUCGGGUUAUAAACCGCUUUCGCCUGUGACGAAGAGUGAGUGACGGUAAUGGGUAAAGAAGCACCGGCUAACUACGUG
rnacentral:rRNA from 1 species